UCAGAGUUCUGCAACAGGCUUCCUGUGCAGUCUGCUCUAAUCAGUAAAAAUGGAUAAAAUGUUGUUCCUGUUGCCCUGAUCAAAAGGAAAUGCGAAAAGAGAAACCACAAAGGCACACACUUCACAUAGCAAAAGGCAUUCUGUGUCUAUUUACGGCU